GAUGAAGAACGUAGCGAAAUGCGAUAAGUAGUGUGAAUUGCAGAAUUCAGUGAAUCAUCGAAUCUUUGAACGCACAUUGCGCCCCUUGGUAUUCCAUGGGGCAUGCCUGUUCGAGCGUCAUUUGUACCCUCAAGCUUUGCUUGGUGUUGGGUGUUUGUCCCGCGCUCUUUUGCGCAAGACUCGCCUUAAUCAAUUGGCAGCCGGCAUGUUAGCCUGGAGCGCAGCACAUUUUGCGCCCCUUGCUUGCUUGUGUUGGCCCCCAUCAAGUCCAUAUAUUUGCUCUUGACCUCGGAUCAGGUAGGGAUACCCGCUGAACUUAAGCAUAUCAAUAAGCGGAGGA
rnacentral:misc_RNA from 1 species